rnacentral:lncRNA from 1 species
UCUGGUGUGGUAAGAUAUGGUCAUACUUAAAAAUAUUAAGGCGAGAAUUUAAGAAAUGCUUUAAGGAGCGCAUAAUAACUCGUAGGUUCUACUUAAAGGAUCUUCCGAAAAGGCAUUAUUCAUUCAUAUAGAAAUCUUUGGGGAUCUGAGAGUGAAAUACCCGUACAGCUAAACCAAGUCAAGUCAAACAGGUCAACGCUUAAACAUCAUGAAGUUUUCAAGAGGAGGAUUUUUCAUCUUGGCAGUUGUCUGCCUUGCUGUACUAACAGAAUGCGCACCACGUCUAAGGAGCCCGCGCCAUAUCAGAAAACCAAGAGGCUCAAUCAACGGUUUCUACUGGAACAAAAAACUUCCCGUUGGCUUCGUCAUCAACAACGUCAAAGCAGACAACAAGCAAUUCAAGCGCAGCGUUGGCAGUGGUAGUGGCAGCGGCAGUGGUAGUGGAAGCGGUGCUAAGGCUUAAAUAAAUGCUGACUUUCUCGUAAUAUUGAUAGCUAACGUGUGAUAGUCAAAUUGACAUAAAAGAAAACGAUGGAAAUAAGAUCUAAUAUUUAUGUUAGUUAUAUGACGAUGCGUCGUAUUGUAAUGGAGUUUAAUACAUUAUAAAAAUAUGAGUACAGUGUAAUAGCGAAUACAUUAACAAUAAUAGUUAUAAUCAUAAUCAUAAU